AAAGCUCAAUUGGCUAUGCCAGUGAUGGAGCUAUGCAACAUUUUAUACCUAUGGAUGCUUGAGCAGCAUGAGCAAGAUGCUUUGGUGGCUCAGGAAGCACUCAACCGCAUUGAUGCUGACUACGAGGCUCUCAUCGAAAUAUAUACACAUCGGAAAUCAAGCCAGAUCUUCCAGACCGGCCAAACUUAUCUUACAAGGUUCAAGAGGCACCUCGAUCAGGAUAUCAUCUCACAGCAACCCCUUCCGUAUCAGAAGA
rnacentral:misc_RNA from 1 species